rfam:Marine metagenome ctg_1101668591943, whole genome shotgun sequence.
AAAGUCCUCACAAGAAAGCAUUAUCCGAUGCAUCUUGAAUCGAGUUUUGAGCUUAUGGAGGUGACGAAAUGAGUUAAGCGUAAACAGAGAGACAAGCAGGCCAUAGGGAAACCGAAGUGAUUGAGCCCCGUAAACCUGUUUUGGAGUGGCCGACGUGGUCGACAUAGCGGAAGGCAAUAUCAAUAAGAAUGUUUUUUUUUUUUUGGGAUAGUUCUUAUUGACACUCCUGGGGUCUGAGAGCA